rnacentral:piRNA from 1 species
UUGACUGAAUGGUGGUUGUGAGCUCA